rnacentral:piRNA from 1 species
UGAGAAUGAUGUUGUUCUACCAACUGAGCU